AACGAACGCUGGCGGCAGGCUUAACACAUGCAAGUCGAACGCUGUAGCAAUACAGAGUGGCGCACGGGUGAGUAACGCGCGGGAACGUGCCCUUUGGUACGCAAUAACGUCGGCAAACUGACGCUAAUACCGGAUACGGCCUCCGGGGGAAAGCGUUAUCGCCCAAGGAUCGGCCCGCGUCAGAUCAGCUAGUUGGUGGGGUAAUGGCAUACCAAGGCUCCGAUCGGUAGCUGGUCUGAGAGGAUGAUCAGCCACAGUGGAACGGAGACACGGUCCAGACUCCGACGGGAGGCAGCAGUGGGGAAUAUUGGACAAUGGGGGAAACCCUGAUCCAGCCAUGCCGCGUGAAUGAUGAAGGCCUUAGGGUUGUAAAGUUCUUUUGCAGGGGACGAUGAUGACGGUACCCUGAGAAUAAGCUCCGGCUAACUUCGUGCCAGCCGCCGCAGUAA
rnacentral:rRNA from 1 species